rnacentral:rRNA from 1 species
GAUGAACGCUGACAGAAUGCUUAACACAUGCAAGUCUACUUGAUUCUACUUCGGUAGUUGAUGGUGGCGGACGGGUGGGUAACGCGUACAGAAUCUGCCCUUUCGUUUGGGAUAACCUUUGGAAACGAAGGCUAAUACCGGAUAUUAUGGAGACGCCGCAUGGCGACUCCAUGAAAGCUAUAUGCGCUAGAGGAGGACUUUGCGGCCCAUUAGUUAGUUGGUGAGGUAAUGGCUCACCAAGACCGCGAUGGGUAGCCGGCCUGAGAGGGUGAUCGGCCACAAGGGAACUGAGACACGGUCCUUACUCCUACGGGAGGCAGCAGUGGGGAAUAUUGGACAAUGGGCCACAAGCCUGAUCCAGCAAUUCUGUGUGCACGAUGAAGGUCUUCGGAUUGUAAAGUGCUUUCAGUAGGGAAGAAAAAAAGGACGGUACCUACAGAAGAAGCGACGGCUAAAUAUGUGCCAGCAGCCGCGGUAAGAC